rnacentral:lncRNA from 1 species
GUAUGUAAAUUGUCAAAUAUUGUAGGCUUUAGAGAGUGAAUAUUUGGCUAUAAAAGGAGAGAUUCAACUCUCAUUUUAAUACACCAACAAAGAGAAAAAGAAAGAGCCAGGUUUCACAGACAAUGUAUAAGAAAAUAGUCUGUAAGAAAAAUAGAGAGUGAGCGAUAUUGUAGUAAGGUGGGAAUAUCAAAAGAUGGUUAUUUCUUUUGAGUGUUGUAGUG